AUUGAACGCUGGCGGCAGGCCUAACACAUGCAAGUCGAGCGCGCGGCGGACGGGUGAGUAAUGUCUGUGAGACUGCCUGAUGUAGGGGGAGAACUACUGGAAACGGGAGCUAAUACAGCAUACCAUCAGAUGUGCCCCGAUGGGAUUAGCUAGUAGGUGGGGUAACGGCUCACCUAGGCGACGAUCCCUAGCUGGUCUGAGAGGAUGACCAGCCACACUGGAACUGAGACACGGUCCAGACUCCUACGGGAGGCAGCAGUGGGGAAUAUGGCACAAUGGGCGCAAGCCUGAUGCAGCCAUGCCGCGUGUGUGAAGAAGGCCUUCGGGUUGUAAAGUACUUUCAGCGGGGAGGCGUUACCCGCAGAAGAAGCACCGGCUAACUCCGUGCCAGCAGCCGCGGUAAUAC
rnacentral:rRNA from 1 species